GAAAGUUGAAAAUGGCACUUCACCGGCCUCCCCAAAUCCAAAAAGCGUAAUGCCUGCCAAAACAUAAAAACUACCUUCCCCCAACCAAUAAAAUUUGCCAUUAUAGACCAACAAGAACCCACCCUUCUCUUUCCCUCUCCACCUCUCUCUCUUUCUCUCUCUCCCUCUCAAAACCCCAUAACAAAAGCAAGACCAACAACCCAGAAUAGCUUUUAUAAAAGACUGAGAGAGGGGGAGAGAGAGGUGUCUGUGCUUGGCUUUUACCCAUUUUCCUGUUCUGCAAUGGCGGUGGAAGACAGGUCCUUCCCUUUGUCUCCCACUCUGUGCAGUGACCCAGUUGCCCUUGAGGUACCUUCUCAUCAUGCUUUUGUGUUUCGAGGGACGUUUUCGUGCAUUCACAGACUGAAAGCACUACAAUGUAGCUCUUUCUUUCUGUAAAAAGGAGAAAAAUCCAACCUUUAUUGGUUGGAAAAGGGCAAACAGGAUGGAGCCAGGCAAAUUUCAUAUAUAUAAUAUUUCUUUUCUCUAAAAAAAAGCUAAAGGCAAAAAAUUUCAUACCCUCUUAUUUAUUUUUGUGGGUUAUUUUUUUCUUUAUGGGAUUUUUUUUUUCUAUGGAAAGUGAAAGGUUCUUGAAAUUCUAGAGGCGGAGGAGCAUACGGUUCGUCAUCGAUCAUGGGUAUUUGUCACCACACACUCAAAUGUCAAGAAGAAGACAGUGGGGGAAGCAUGUUGAUGACUAUGACUUUCAUGGUUGUUGGUCAUAAUGAUGUGAUGAUGAAGUUGUAUUGUUAUAUUUCCCCAAAUUUUCCAUACACUGAGUUGAUUUUAUA
rnacentral:lncRNA from 1 species